rnacentral:misc_RNA from 1 species
GUGGUGGAUUUGGAUUGUGCCGUAAUUGGCUCAUCCUGAAAUGCAUUAGCUUGCGCUUUUUACAGUGCUCGGCAUGGUGUGAUAAUUAUCUUCACUGUCGCCUUAGGCCUGUUCUAUAUGUGUAGCUUCUAAUCGUCCCUUGUGGACAACUUACUUAACACUUUGGCCUCAAAUCAGGUAGGACUACCCGCUGAACUUAA